AACGAACGCUGGCGGCAGGCUUAACACAUGCAAGUCGAACGCUCGUAGCAAUACGGGAGUGGCGGACGGGUGAGUAACGCGUGGGAACGUGCCCUGAGGUACGGAAUAACUGAGGGAAACUUCAGCUAAUACCGUAUGAGCCCCGAGAGGGGGAAAGAUUUAUCGCCUUGGGAGCGGCCCGCGUCGGAUUAGCUAGUUGGUGGGGUAACGGCCUACAGCUUCGAUCGUAGCUGGUCUGAGAGGACGAUCAGCCACACUGGGACGUGAGACACGGCCCACGACUCCUACGGGAGGGCAGCAGUGGGGAAGUCUUGCGCAAUGGGGGCGAACCCUGACGCAGCCAUGCCGCGUGAACGAUGAAGG
rnacentral:rRNA from 1 species